CUGAUGGUGUCGGUGCAGGAGGACGAGACAGAGGAGACGGUGUGCCGUAGAUCGGUCUGUGAGGGCACCUUCAGGCUGAUCUCUGAGGGGGACGAGCCGGGCUCCAGAACCGGACCACCUGCCCAACAGACAGAACAAGAGCUCAGGAAGACAUCGAGCGCCUCGUGAUCGGACACAUCCGUGAGAUCCAUUUGUUCCAGGAGAUCAACAUUCACCUCCAUUGAAGACAUGCUGCCUAAUGGAUCUGCCCCAGAGAAAGAAAGAAAUUAUAAUCCUACACUUUGACAACUCUAACACCAAACCAGCUUCAAAA